CUUGCUGACCCCAAUCCUCUGGACGACGACGUUUCUAAACCCACCGACGGUAGCUUGCUGAAAACAAACUCCCCCACCCCCACCGCCACCAACGUUCUGUUCCAUUAAUCCAGCCAUGUAGUUUCUCACCUCCUUCCUUAUCAUCUCCUGCAUCACCGCCAUUAAAUCCGAGCUAAGAAUCCCAAACCCAUUAUAAUUCCUCUCAUCCUUCUCCCCUGAAAUUUGUUCCUGUCCAUUUGCCGGUGCCGAAGACGGCAGGGCCGUACUCGGUCUCUCAGAAACUCCAGCCAUUGCUGGAAGAGAAUUUGCCACAAAAUUAACCUCCGAUGAGUCCGCACCCGGAAGCGACAACGACAAUGAUGUCGGUGGAUCAUUCGAAGACGACACCGUCUCGCCAGGAGGCAAAACGCCGCCGGUUCUGGCCACUGGCCGGUAUACAUGGGAGGACGACACGGCGGGGAAGAAGCCGGAAUCGCUGACGUCGGAUCCAGAAGGACUAUUCGGAGGCAUAUAAACACCUGCAGAAACCGACCUCUUCAACGGCGGGGAACUGGUAUUACAACCCCCGCUCUCGUCGGCCAUGGACGAGCACUUACGUUUCAAGGUCGAGUUCCAGUGGUUCUUGAUCGCGUUAUCGGUCCGGCCGGAGAGGAGCCUGGCGAUGGUAGCCCACUUAUUGCCGUACAGAGCUUGGGCGUUAAUGAUUGUCUCGUCUUCCUCCGGCGUGAAGGCUCGGUGCUCCACCUGCGGUGAGAGCUGGUUGCACCACCGUAGGCGACAGGAUUUGCCGGAGCGGCCUGGAAUUGAUUUGCUAAUCAAGGACCAGUUCCGAGGGCCGUAUUUAUGGACCAAUCUCUGGAGAGCAUCGUCUUCUUCAGGACUCCAGGGACCUUUGAUUCGAUCGAUUUCUUUAGCCAUGGAAGAAAAGAAAAAACAAAAACUCAGUUGCUUGGAAUCGGAGAAAACAUAGGAAGG
rnacentral:misc_RNA from 1 species